CUACGGGGGGCAGCAGUGGGGAAUAUUGCACAAUGGGCGCAAGCCUGAUGCAGCCAUGCCGCGUGUAUGAAGAAGGCCUUCGGGUUGUAAAGUACUUUCAGCGGGGAGGAAGGGAGUAAAGUUAAUACCUUUGCUCAUUGACGUUACCCGCAGAAGAAGCACCGGCUAACUCCGUGCCAGCAGCCGCGGUAAUACGGAGGGUGCAAGCGGUAAUCGGAAUUACUGGGCGUAAAGCGCACGCAGGCGGUUUGUUAAGUCAGAUGUGAAAUCCCCGGGCUCAACCUGGGAACUGCAUCUGAUACUGGCAAGCUUGAGUCUCGUAGAGGGGGGUAGAAUUCCAGGUGUAGCGGUGAAAUGCGUAGAGAUCUGGAGGAAUACCGGUGGCGAAGGCGGCCCCCUGGACGAAGACUGACGCUCAGGUGCGAAAGCGUGAGGAGCAAACAGGAUUAGAUACCCGAGUAGUC
rnacentral:rRNA from 1 species